CUGGUACAUUCUCUGUCUGUAUUGUAAAAGGUUGUUCCAGAGGCAGUGUGUGCAGUUCAUCUCAGCGUUUGAUGGUGCCAAUGUAACGUGAACAGCUUUACAAGGACAUUUUGUGUACCUCUCAGAAGCUGACCAAAAGGAAUGGCUCAUACAUGAUGACGUGGGCUAGGGGUGUAGUCAGGUCAAGGUGGAAAACCAGUGCUUGCAAAGCUCGUGGCUGGCUCAGUGGUUAAGAGCACUGACUGCUCUUCUGAAGGUCCUGAGUUCAAUU